rnacentral:rRNA from 1 species
UGGGGAAUAUUGGACAAUGGGCGAAAGCCUGAUGGAGCGACGUCGCGUGAUGGACGAAGUGCUUCGGCACGUAAACAUCUUUUUAUGUGGGAUGAAAUUAUUGACAGUACCACAUGAAUAAGGGGCUCCUAACUCUGUGCCAGCAGGAGCGGUAAUACAGAGGCCCCAAGCGUUAUCCGGAAUCACUGGGCGUAAAGGGUGUCGAGGCGGUUGUAUUAGUCGUUCGUAAAAUCUACGAGCUUAACUUGUAGGCGGCGAACGAAACGGUACGACUUGAGGUUUGGAGAGGUGCGUGGAACUCACGGUGUAGGGGUGAAAUCCGUUGAUAUCGUGGGGAACACCAAAGGCGAAGGCAGCGCACUGGCCAAAAUCUGACGCUCACACACGAAAGCUAGGGUAGCGAAGAGGAUUAGAUACCCAGGUAGUCCCUGAGCGGGCUGGCAAGGCGCAU